rnacentral:rRNA from 1 species
ACUUUACGGAUCACAUUAUGUGACAUAUCAUUCAAGUUUCUGACCUAUCAGCUUUAGACGGUAGGGUAUUGGCCUACCGUGGCUAUGACGGGUAACGGGGAAUUAGGGUUCGAUUCCGGAGAGGGAGCCUGAGAAACGGCUACCACAUCUAAGGAAGGCAGCAGGCGCGCAAAUUACCCAAUCCUAAUACAGGGAGGUAGUGACAAGAAAUAACAAUACAGAACCUUACGGUUUUGUAAUUGGAAUGAGUUAAGUAUAAACCCCUUAACAAGUAUCAAUUGGAGGGCAAGUCUGGUGCCAGCAGCCGCGGUAAUUCCAGCUCCAAUAGCGUAUAUUAAAGUUGUUGCAGUUAAAAAGCUCGUAGUUAAUCUUCUGUUAAUUUUUAUAUAUAAUAUCUCGAUAUUUAUAUAAUAUUAACAUAAUUCAUAUUACUUUUUAGUAUAUGAAACUUUACUUUGAGAAAAUUAGAGUGCUUAAAGCAGGCUAUUGCCUUGAAUACUCCAGCAUGGAAUAAUAUUAAGGAUUUUUAUUCUUCUUAUUGGUUCUAGAAUAAAAAUGAUGAUUAAUAGGAACAGUUGGGGGCAUUUGUAUUUAACAGUCAGAGGUGAAAUUCUUAGAUUUGUUAAAGACAAACUACUGCGAAAGCAUUUGCCAAGGAUGUUUUCAUUAAUCAAGAACGAAAGUUAGGGGAUCGAAGACGAUCAGAUACC